rnacentral:rRNA from 1 species
GAUGAACGCUAGCGGCAGGCUUAAUACAUGCAAGUCGAGGGGUAGCAAGAUAGUAGCAAUACAAUUGUUGACGACCGGCAAACGGGUGCGGAACACGUACACAACCUUCCUACAAGUGGGGAAUAGCCCAGAGAAAUUUGGAUUAAUACCCCGUAACAUAGCGAUGUGGCAUCACAUUGCUAUUAUAGCUUCGGCGCUUGUUGAUGGGUGUGCGGCUGAUUAGAUAGUUGGCGGGUAACGGCCCACCAAGUCUACGAUCAGUAGCUGAUGUGAGAGCAUGAUCAGCCACACGGGCACUGAGACACGGGCCCGACUCCUACGGGAGGCAGCAGUAAGGAAUAUUGGACAAUGGACGCAAGUCUGAUCCAGCCAUGCCGCGUGAAGGAUUAAGGUCCUCUGGAUUGUAAACUUCUUUUAUAAGGGACGAAAAAAGGUCUUUCUAGAUCGUCUGACGGUACCUUAUGAAUAAGCACCGGCUAACUCCGUGCCAGCCGCCGCAGUAACAC